ACACGACUACAUUAGAUACCCCGGUAGUCCUAGCCGUAAACGAUACUCGCUAGGUGUCGGCCACGGUGCGACCGUUGUCGGUGCCGUAGGGAAGCCGUGAAGCGAGCCACCUGGGAAGUACGGUCGCAAGGCUGGAAACUUAAGGAAUUGGCGGGGGAGCACCACAACGGGUGGAGCCUGCGGUUUAAUUGGACUCAACGCCGGACAACGUCACCGGGAACGACAGCAAUAUGUAGGCCAGGCUGAAGACCUUGCCUGAAUCGCUG
rnacentral:rRNA from 1 species